GCCGGAGCCGCCGCCGCUGCCGACCCGGCGCCGCCAGAGCCAGAGCCCGGACGGGGUCGGACGAACGGGCGGCGAGUACGCCGCGCCCGCCGCCUUCCAGCCGCGGCCGCCAGGGGCGCCACAGGGUCACCGCAAGGAGGCUUUCGCGUACAUCGAGCUGGCAUCCAUGAACUGUGGUAUCCUGAUGGAGGCCAAGAACGACAACUCCAAGUCGACCUACCUCACAGACUCGGACGUCGAAGUAUAUAUACCGGGCUGCCACCCGCCACGGCCGGGGCCGGCGAGCCAGGAUCCGCCACGGGCCUCGCAGAGCCCUCUGCGGGCCCAGCUCAGCUCCCCGGCCCGAGACCCGCGACCCGCGGGCGGCCAGGCGGGCCCUGCACACGACCGGAGAGGCCCCAGCCCCAGAUCCGGCCCGCGGGCGUCCCAGGACAGCCCCUCGUCUCAGACGAGCUCCAGCGCCGGCGA